AACGCACCUUGCGCUCCUUGGUAUUCCGAGGAGCAUGCCUGUUUGAGUGUCAUGAAAUUCUCAACCUUUCUAGCUUUUACAGCUUGUCAGGCUUGGAUUGUGGAAGUUGCUGGUUUAACAAUCAGCUCUUCUCAAAUGUAUUAGCAGAAACCUUUGCUGACCAUCUUUGGUAUGAUAAUUAUCUAUAUCAUUGAUAAUCAGUGUCCUUAGGGGAAAGGCUUCGCUUCUAAUAGUCUUUUAGACAACUUGACAACUUUGACCUCAAAUCAGGUAGGACUACCCGCUGAACUUAA
rnacentral:misc_RNA from 1 species